UUUGAUCUCAUGCAGAUGUUUUCAGAGACUAGCUCAGAACCCAAAGUGGAUGAGCAUCAACCUCCAGUCUUUGAAAAAACGGUAAAGGAAGAUGUGGAACAUGUUCUUUCAGAAACAUUGAGUGGUUUGAAACUUGAGGAGUUUGAGAAAUUUAAGUGGGUGCUGCAGCUCACAUACUUCCAGAGGAGUUUUACACGAAUCCAG